UUUCGGUGCCUUCUUCCAUGGCGACGGCGUCGUCGUACUGGUGCUACCGGUGUAGCCGCUCCGUCCGGGUGUGGCCUCAGGACGCCAUCGUCUGCCCCGACUGCGACGGUGGCUUUCUUGAGGAGAUCAGCAGUCCUCCUCCCCGCCUCCACCCGGCCGCCGAGCCCCGACGCCGCCGGGUGCCCUCCACCGACGCUCACACGCUCGGCAGCGGCUGGUCCGCCGCGGCCGCCCGCACCCGCCAGUCAUCCGAACUCAGGUUUGGCCGCAACCGCCGGUCCCCCUCCGGCGACCGCUCUCCCUUUAAUCCGGUCAUCGUCCUCCGCGGCCAGCCCGACGGUGGCGCCCGUGAGGCGGAUCGAGCCACCACCAACAGCUUCGAGCUUUUCUACGACGACGGCACCGGAUCCGGCCUCCGCCCCUUGCCUGAAAGCAUCUCGGAUUUCCU
rnacentral:lncRNA from 1 species